rnacentral:rRNA from 3 species
GACGUAGGGCGCGAGCGUUGUCCGGAUUUAUUGGGCGUAAAGAGCUCGUAGGCGGCUUGUCGCGUCGACUGUGAAAACCCGUGGCUCAACCAUGUGGUCUGCAGUCGAUACGGGCAGGCUAGAAUUCGGUAGGGGAGACUGGAAUUCCUGGUGUAGCGGUGAAAUGCGCAGAUAUCAGGAGGAACACCGGUGGCGAAGGCGGGUCUCUGGGCCGAUAUUGACGCUGAGGAGCGAAAGCGUGGGGAGCGAACAGG